rnacentral:misc_RNA from 1 species
GAUGAAGAACGUAGCGAAAUGCGAUACGUAAUGUGAAUUGCAGAAUUCAGUGAAUCAUCGAAUCUUUGAACGCAUAUUGCGCUCUCUGGUAUUCCGGAGAGCAUGCUUGUUUGAGUAUCAGUAAACACCUCAACUUCCAUAUCUUUUUUGAAAUGGGAGUUGGACUUGAGUGAUCCCAACGCUUUUCCUCACCGAAAAGUGGCGGGUUACUUGAAAUGCAGGUGCAGCUGGACUUUUCUCUGAGCUAUAAGCAUAUCUAUUUAGUCUGCCUAAAAAACAGAUUAUUACCUUUGCUGCAGCUAACAUAAAGGAGAUUAGUUCUUGUGCUGACUGAUGCAGGAUUCACAAAGACAGGCUUCGGCCGACUUUGUAAACUCGAUCUCAAAUCAAGUAAGACUACCCGAUGAACUUAAGCAUAUCAAUAAGCGGAGGA